UGUCGCGCUCGGAAGAUCCAUGUUUGCGACAUUACACCGCGACAAGAUCUGCCAGUCCAAUCGGAAAUGUAGCUGUUUUUCCUCACAGCUUUUCCGACUCGAGCCAGCAGGCACUUUCACCCUUUAGCUGGGUGGGGUUAUAUUGCGACAUCUGUUGGUUUGACAACCAUCUUAAGGCAAAUGGAAACGCCUCCACAAGGGGGUGCUCGUGUUGCAGGCAGCGAUGCUCGUGAUCGUUUGAGCCUUGGACAAAACGUCAACGGAGAUGGAGACUACCAUAGGCUGACGGAGGGUUGAAGGGUUUCCUGCAAGCCCCCACACAGUUUCCAUUGCAGAUGCUUAUCAGCGGGAGACCGCGAUCAACCUGGUCCCUGGUGCGUGCAGAUGGCCUCCUCCACCAUCCUCCUCCCAAGCAGGCCGGAAGGAAAGGCUAAGGUCCUCUUUAAAGGCCAGGAUUUGGACCGACGGAAAAAAUAAAGCAGCUAUAAUUUAUGAAGUAAGCCUGGACACCUAACCACUGCAUGUUACUUCGGCAGAACUUCAGUUCUCAUGUUCUCUGCUCUGGUUUAAAAGUGUUUCGAUUUGAUCUAAGAUAUCCGCAAGGAGCGUCUCUUGCUUGUCCUGUUUGUAUGGCAUCAUGGCACACAAAGAACUGCUACUGAGUAGCUGAGGAAUUAAAGCUUUAAUUUAAGACAA